UCCCAUUAUGCCAGGCAGCCCUAAAAACCACUGCCUAUUUGUGGCAUUCAGUCCAAAGUUAGGAAUGAAGGUAAAUCAGAGGGCUGCUUGCUACCUGCAAAGGUUUUCAUGCCAUUCUCAUACGUCAGCAAUUCAACUCUGAGAAAACCUGGAUGUCCCCUUCCCACCCCGAUGAUCUGGUCAGCAGGGAACAGAGGCAUUGAUGCCUUGGGCUUUUUCAUCAUCAUCAUCACCACCAUCAUAAUCAUUAUCAUUAUCAUCAUGGACCAUCAAAUCAAUUCUGGUUUUUCCAGGGAAGCGGUAGACUCUCCUAGCUUCUUCUGGGAGUGAGGGGCCUGGAUGCCCUACUUCUUGAGAGGAUUAAAAAUAAAAAGAAGACACUGUUUCCUUAGUGGCUUCAUGGAUCCUCGUUACCUUGGCUACUUUUGUGAAUGAAGACCUGGCGUAUAUCUGGCCAAUGGCCUUGUUGAUAAUUCCGACAACCAACUAAGAUUAAAGAAACCUGACUGGAACCUCACAUACCUUUUAGAUACUUCU